UACGUAGGGUGCGAGCGUUGUCCGGAAUUACUGGGCGUAAAGAGCUCGUAGGUGGUUUGUCACGUCGUCUGUGAAAUUCCGGGGCUUAACCUCGGGCGUGCAGGCGAUACGGGCAAUACUUGAGUGCUGUAGGGGAGACUGGAAUUCCUGGUGUAGCGGUGAAAUGCGCAGAUAUCAGGAGGAACACCGAUGGCGAAGGCAGGUCUCUGGGCAGUUACUGACGCUGAGGAGCGAAAGCAUGGGUAGCGAACAGGAUUAGAUA
rnacentral:rRNA from 1 species